AGUCAUUUUGGGGGCUCGUCCGGGAUAGGAGUUUUCCUGCAGGGGGGAAUUCGGUCCAAGAGCUUUCACCUGCUGAACACUGCGUACUCCCAGGCCGGCCUCAAAACAAGGUGUCCAGAGACCACGGAAGGGAGAAGACCGACCAUCCCCACACAGCUAUCCUUCUUGAGAAACUUCCAGACUACCUCUGGUCCGAAGGCCCGACUGACAUUUUGCGGUCCAGGUGCAAGACAGAACCGGAGGGCAGAACACCCCUGAUCCCCACACAACAGCCUGGGUCCUCCUGAGGGUCAUUAAGAGGAAGUGGUCGGAGCCACGGUGGACAGGACCAUACCAGGUGGAGGAGAGAACGUCACACGCUGUGAGGCUGAGAGGGCAAGGGGACACCUGGUACCACUGGAGCCAGUGCGCCCCCGCGGACGAACCGGGUCGCACUCUUCAGGACAUCCUGACGACGCAGCAGAAAGAGACGGAACUGGGCACUGGAUAGUGCCCGGACGUGCUCUCGGCGGGCAGUGACCGACAGACACCCAGUGCAUGGUGUUCUGUGUUGACUGUCUACAACGAAAGAAGAAGACCAGCGACGAAGAAAUGCACAAUGCUAUCCUCUCCUCUCCUCUGUUCUAUCUUUCUCAAUUCUCCGCAGUUUAGUUGAA